rnacentral:rRNA from 1 species
GACGAACGCUGGCGGCGUGCCUAACACAUGCAAGUCGAGCGGGGAUUUAAGUGGAAGUUCUUCGGAAUGGAGAUUUAAAUUCUAGCAGCGGACGGGUGAGUAACGCGUGAACAAUCUGUCCCGGACAGGGGGAUAACACUUGGAAACAGGUGCUAAUACCGCAUAAGACCACGGCCUCGCAUGGGGCUGAGGUAAAAGGAGCAAUCCGGUUCGGGGUGAGUUCGCGUCCGAUUAGCUAGUUGGUGAGGUAACGGCCCACCAAGGCGACGAUCGGUAGCCGGCCUGAGAGGGUGAACGGCCACAUUGGAACUGAGAGACGGUCCAAACUCCUACGGGAGGCAGCAGUGGGGAAUAUUGGGCAAUGGGCGAAAGCCUGACCCAGCAACGCCGCGUGAGGGAAGAAGGUUUUCGGAUUGUAAACCUCUGUCCUAUGGGACGAAGGAAGUGACGGUACCAUAGGAGGAAGCCCCGGCUAACUACGUG